rnacentral:tRNA from 1 species
UGGCUCAGAGGUUAAAGCGUCUGCCUGGAAUGCGGGAGUCCAGGGUUCGAUCCCUG